rnacentral:lncRNA from 1 species
AUGUCAAUCCUGUGUCAGUCCCGUGUCAAUCCGGUGUCAAUCCAGAUUCAAUUUUAUGCCAAUCCCUUGUUAAUCCAGAUUCAGUCCCGUGUCAAUCCCUUGUUAAUCCCAUGUCAAUCCAGAUUCCACCCUGAGUCAAUCCCAUGUCAAUCCCUUGUCAAUCCUGUGUCAAUCCCGUGUCAAUCCAGAUUCCACCCCCCUCAAUCCCAUGUCAAUCCCAUGUUAAUCCAGAUUCAAUCCCAUGUCAAUCCGGAUUCCACAGCAUGUCAAUCCUGUGUCAAUCCCGUGUUAAUCCAGAUUCCAUCCCAUGUCAAUCCGGAUUCCACAGCAUGUCAAUCCCAUGUCAUUCCAGAUUUAAUCCCGUGUCAAUCCCAUGUUAAUCCAGAUUCAAUCCCAUGUCAAUCCGGAUUCCACAGCAUGUCAAUCCCGUGUCAAUCCCAUGUCAAUCCAGAUUUAAUCCCAUGUCACUCCCAUGUGAACCCAGAUUCUACCCCCUGUCAUUCCCAUGUUAAUUCAGAUUUAAUCCCGUGUCAAUCCCAUGUUAAUCCAGAUUCCACCCCGUGUCAAUCCCAUGUUAAUCCAGAUUUAAUCCCGUGUCAGUCCCAUGUUAAUCCAGAUUCCACCCCGUGCUAAUCCCGUGCCAAUCCCAUGUUAAUCCCGUGCCAAUCCCGUGCUAAUCCCAUGUUAAUCCCGUGCCAAUCCCAUGUUAAUCCGGUGUUAAUCCCGUGUUAAUCCCGUGUCCGUCCCGUGUUGCCCCCCAGGACCACCCCCCGUGGGACCACCGCCUCAUUAACCUCGGGCAUUAAUCACCCCUCCCCUAAUCACCCCCUCGCCCACAAUUAACGCCGUGUGCCUAAUUAAUUAAUUACCG